GAAGUUGCAAUGGGACAAGUUGAAGUUACAAGUCUUAUCUUCCUGAAGUUGCAAUGGAGCAGACUAGAGAUAGCGGAUCUUAUUUCCCAAAAGUUGUAGUGGAAUAGAUUAAAGCUACAAGUUACAAGUCUUAUCUCCCUGAAGUUACAGUGGAGCAGACUAAAGGUUACAAAUCUUGUCUCUCUGAAGUUGCAGUGGAGCAUGUAAUGAUCCAAUUCUGCCCGGGCCCAAGACAAAAUACAAAUAAUAAAUAAAACCAAAUAAAUAAAAAUUCCAAAUACCAAGUCUAUUUACAACAAACCCAACAGGCCCAAAUUACAAAAACUCUAGUGGCCCAAUAAGCCCAAAGCCUAAACAUCUUUUCAAAAAAAAAAACCCUAGCACCCUUUAAUUGCCGCUCCUCCCACGCGCGCCGCAGAGCCUCCUCGCACGCCACCACUGCAGCACGCGUCUGACACAUGCAAAACAAAGGCAACACGCAACAGAAGGUAACAAGCAGUAAAAAGUAC
rnacentral:lncRNA from 1 species